rnacentral:other from 1 species
UAAACCCUGCAGUGUUCGAGACAUGGCCAUACAUUCCUUGAACCAAUGCUUUUGGCAUAAGGUUGCUCGAUUGACAAGUAGGAGUGAUCUUCUCACGAAGAACCCGAAGCUUGACUGAAGGCGACCACCUUGGACCUCCGGUUCCAGGAUGCCGGCCUUGACGGCACAUGCGGGGCCACU